CUGGCACAACCAUUAAGACCCUCAUCUAUAGUGGACUGGAACAAAGCACAGAACUUAUAAAAAAGAAAAAAGUGCACAUUCAGUUUAAUGAGGUGUUAAUUCAAGGAAUGCUGUGAGAGUCAGAAGUUCUAAAUGCCAGUGUUUAAAAAGAUCCAUGUCACAGUGAUCUUGGGUAGGCUGGGACACACCAGCUCACUGACGGACCUGAAAAUGGAUUGCUGUGGGACUACAACCCUACUCAGGAUAUUCUGAGUUAUAAGUGUCCAUGUUACACUUAGGUUAAAAAGAAGAAUGAAAACCCCUCAAGCCAGAUUUUAUGACUUUUUAUAUCACACUGAAAAGUCCAAUGAACUACAGAUUUCAACCAUGGAGAUUUGUGCCCUACUAUGAAACGGUGACUGUAACACAGAUUGAUGAAAGAUUCUGCAGGACGACAAAGGUUAAAGAUGUAGACCCGGAGCUAGAAGCCAGCACUGACACUGAUGGAGUGGACUGCGAUGAGAAUGCCCACAUUAUUGUCCUAUCCUCUGAUAACCAAUGUAAUAUGAAAACCGACUACAGAAGAAAGGAACAAAUUAAAUCCAUUAAUCAAGCAUA
rnacentral:lncRNA from 1 species